AAUAGUGACUGGUGUGCCUUGACUCUUGAUGCCUGCCUCUAUGGAUACCUGGGACUUCGAAUUUUAAGAGCUAGAAAUUCUGUAGCAUUAUCCUCAAGGCUAUCAUGGAGUUGGCAGGGCAGUGUGGCCAGUUCAUAUUGAAAAUGCUAGGACAAGUGCACCCGGAGUAAUAAGCAUUUGUUGAUUAGGCAUUGGUUGGCUGCAUUGACAGAUAAUUCAGGGAUGUUCACACAAAGUCUUCAGCUACAUCUGGUGACAGAGAUGACUGCUCAAAAUUUGCAGCCAACUUAUUGUUCUUUCUAAGUGCUUUAAAGCCUUGCACAAACGGAGAUUGUAUUCAUUUAGAGAGGAGGAAUGCUGUAAAUGAGGCUUGUCAUGAAUGGCCUGGAGCAAAUAACUCAAGCAUUAAUUUUUCCAUCCUAAGGUACUUUGCUCAUUAGUUUUCACCAAGAACUUAACUAAACACUAUGCCAAGAUUGAAAAUC